GAUGAACGCUGGCGGCGUGCCUAAUACAUGCAAGUCGAGCGAACGGACGAGAAGCUUGCUUCUCUGAUGUUAGCGGCGGACGGGUGAGUAACACGUGGAUAACCUACCUAUAAGACUGGGAUAACUUCGGGAAACCGGAGCUAAUACCGGAUAAUAUUUUGAACCGCAUGGUUCAAACGUGAAAGACGGUCUUGCUGUCACUUAUAGAUGGAUCCGCGCUGCAUUAGCUAGUUGGUAAGGUAACGGCUUAACAACGCAACGAUGGAUAGCCGACCUGAGCGGGAGGAUGACCAGAUGGGAUGAGAGACUCGGUAGACACUUCUGCGGGAAGAAACAGCAGAGAAUCUUCCGGGAGGGGGGAGUGGCGGACAGAGCAAAGCGGGGGGAAGCAUGAUCGAGCUAGGAUGGGAGAACUAUGAAAGUAGGAGAGUAGAAAUGUGUAAGUAACUGUGAAGAUAAUGACGGUACCGGAACAAAAAGCCACGGCUAACUUCGUG
rnacentral:rRNA from 1 species